rnacentral:lncRNA from 1 species
UAUAUGUUAUCUUAAUAAAACAUAAGUUGGGUAUUGUUAAGGAUAGUAUAUCCCUCCCUAUUUCUCUUUUAUUAUUCCUUAUUUUGUCAAGGCUUCGACCCGUAGGGAAUAAAUAAAUAUAUAUUUUGCAGGAAAAUAAUAGCUUAACACCGGAAUUAUACAAUUGAAUUUUUGAGGAGGGAGAACAACAUAAUUAAUCUCAUUUAUUCACAAUAAAUUGAUAUCAUUAACAUUAUUUCCCUCUUAAGUCAAAUCCACGAGAAUUAUUAUUUUAACAUUCCCAAGAUUACUUAGUAUGUUGUAUAUUUCUUCAUAAAAUUCCGCUCUUUAUUCAUUUGUACCAUAAAUAUUUGCAACAACAAUUUUUCCUUCAUGGAGUGUAACAUCUCUGAUGUCAAAUAAGCUAUAAGUUAAACUUUUAUAAUUAGUCAUCUUGAUUGCAUGCCAGGCCAUUUUCUAAUCAUAGUCAACGUCCCUCUUUUAUUCUCAAUACAGUUUCUAUAGUAUACACAUUCUUUUGGGUCACAUUUAGUACAAAAAACAUGUUCCUCUUUGCCUUUAAGGUAAUCAAUGUAGUCAUGUCGUCUUUGAUCAUUUCUGAAAGAUUUUAUAUUUUGGGAAUAUAUACCGAUUUUUGUUUAUUAGUUAUUAGGAUCUCUUGCUAUACUUGAGUUUUGGUAUCUAUGUUAUAUUUUUUCUUGCAGAACUACUAAUUUUAGUAUAUGAGAAAAACGAUAAAUUGAAGUUCUCCUGUAUUACAUGCUACCAUUUUCCUUCUUUCUCUUCGUAUUCUCAUCCACGGGACCCCUUAUAAGUCUUUUAUGCUGUCCAUCAAUCUUAUUUGGCUUUUGGGGAGAGUUAGCUUUGUUUCUGAGCAUCGUUUGGCAGUCUUCUUUCAAUCCCCUUUCUUGAUUUGAAUCCUUACUGGAGCCUUCGUCUUCUGACCUUACAUCCAUUCUCUGUAAAUAGAAUGGUAUCUCCGAGUUCCCCAUCAUUUAUCUUCAAACCCCCUACCAUUUCUUCAGGUAAUUCUGGCAUUUCCUUUGAAAUAAAUGAUUCCUAUUCUCUUGAGUUUCUAAUAUCAAUGAUCUAGCAACAGCUUCCAAAACUCAAUCUACAACUUGAUUGGUUUUCUUAACACUCGUCAUUUUGAUUGAAUUCCAGUGCCUCUACAUCUUUCUCAGUUUUGUCAAAUACCCCCAUUCUUUUUCCUUUGUGAGGUCUAGUUCUAGAAUGAGUGGAUUUUUAUUUAUUUAUUAGAAUCUCUACUAAAUUGUAUAAUUCAGGAUACAUAUGCUUGGUUAGAUGUGUUAACCUUUUCUACCACAAGUGGUUGAGUUGAUUCUACAUUGCUUUUGGAUGAUUUGUCAAAUGUCCCAAAAUAUAUUUCAUUAUAAUCUUUUUCAAAAUAGUCCAUAAUCUUAAUUCUUAUCUUUUUCCUUGGAGCUUGCUCAAAUCCUUCUACAAGUAUGAUACCUGUGGAAAGGACAGCAUCUUCUUUCAAUUUUCUUUUUAAAAGUAGUCCCAACAAUUCACCUUUUAAAUCCCCUAUAUAUACAUUUUCUUCAAAAUAAUUAUCGCAAAUUCUAGGGUAUUUUCGAAUGGGUUCCUUUCGAAAAUAAGCAUUUUCCCAUUUUUUUCUCCUUGAGGGAUCCUUUGGAAAACCAUGAUAAACUAUGUUGUUAGGAUAAUCACAAAUGACAAGUGUCCAACUAAUAAUUUUAUCGCUCAAAUACAUUAUACUUAUUCCGAAUGGUGAAUAGGUAUAUUAUUGUAAUAAUUAUUUUUAUAUAAUUAUAAUAUAUUUAUUGGUAAAUGUAAAUAAAGGAUAAUAUCAUAUUUCAAAGAUACCAAACCUAUCUUUCUUGGCCAACAACGUAGUCCCAUUUUUUUGAUUUUGGCCUUGUGUGAAUUGGCCUUUGGUACGCUUUCUAUUCCCUAUCACAUCAAAAUCUGCCUGUCUUGCCCAGCAGAAGGUACGAUACAUCAAAUUGAAAAUUCUAGCUAGCCCAAUUACAUAAUUGUCUAACCUUGAAUGGUAUGUAAUAUAUUAUAUGUUUGUUUUGAACCUCAACCUGUUCUGAAAAGUGGGAAAUGAAGUUGAUCUUUCAGGAUCUUUGGUAAGUUUGCCAAUGCCUAGCGGAAUAUUGUCGUGGACUGCAUCCAGUUUGAACUUGGGGAUUUUAAAACAUGUGUAUUUUUUUAGCUCUUGUAGAGUUGGAGUCAUGUAUCUUACAGAAGCAUUUUUAUUCAAUUAGAAGGUCAAUGUAUAAAAUAGGAUUUAAUACAUUGUAUUCUUUUAUUUCCUUAAAAGAAGACAUAGAAACAAUAGAGUUCACUGGUCAGAAACGACAGUUAGGGUACUGUUUCAUGCUUAGACCUCAUGUAAAGAGAAAACAAGAUCAGUUAACUGAUAUAUGUCUAGGAUGGUGUCAAUACUUAAUAUAACUACUGACAAAAUCUUAGAUCUUAGGCAAAUCGCCUACACAAUUAUCUAAUUAUACGAGUAAUGAUAACUCGGAAUGAAAGUAGUUAGUCUAAAUGUGGACUCUUCAAGUAUCAAUUCGACAUCUUAAAGUUCUAGAGAAAUCCUAGUUAUAUAGAAAUACAAGCUAUUUUUAUAACGUUGUUUUGUCGGAUGUUUGGAUCCACCACACCUUUUCUUUUUGCACGAACGUCAGAAGUGACGUCAGAAGUGAUAUUUCAGUGUUUACUCAAUAUACAUUGUGUUUUUUCUUAUCAGAUGGACUAUGUUUUACAAAUUAUUCCUGUUUUGAGAAUCGUUGGAGAGAAUCUUCGAUAAGUUAUCACUUAUCACAGUUAUUAUGACAAGCAUUAAGGUGACUAUGUACUUCCAUACUUCGACAGUAAAGGCGACGUAAACAUCUGACUCUUACCUCGCUAGGUACCCAAGAUCAGGGACUAAUGGGUUGGUGUAGUCAAACCAGGAACUUGCACCUAUGGAAAUUAUUCACGCCGGAACAAAAGUUCUUCAGUUAUGUACUUUCACCUAUGAAUCUCCUGCAUGUUCUUUUCGCAGAAGGGCUUCUCUAUCCUUUCUUGUGGAGGACGGAUAAACGAGAGCUAUUGCUAUAAAGAAUGGGUUGGCAGUCAUAUGGAACCAAUGGAGCUCCAUUGAAAAAUCGGAAAACUUUGAAAAUAUACACAGAAGCAUUUUUAAGGUUUUUUGGAGGACUCUCUAUAGUUCAGAGGGCAUUGAAGCAAUUACUUUUGCAUUUAAAUUCUUGUUGAUUUGGAGGAAUGGUAUCAACAUUUUCAUAUUAAUUUUUUUGUAAUAAACCUAAUUUUAUUUCUAAAUCAUAACUUAUUUACAUAAACAUAACAAAAUGAGCCAAUUUUUGAAAUUUUGUCGCCAAUUUUCUGUUUGUAUGGCUUUUGUUGACUUUAUUAAUAUGUUAUUACCAAUAAAAGUACGAGUUCAAACAAACUUUUUUAUUACAUCACAUCUGUGGAUACUUAUCCUGAAUAAUUCGAAUUAAACGAUCCAUAACAGGUGUUUUCGUAUCGAAACUACUUCCAUGAAAUUGGACAAAUUCAUAUUCUAUUUUUUGUGGAAACGAUAGGAAUUCCUCAGAUGGUUGAAUUAGUCCUCCUCUCAUGGACUUGAAGGAACAUUUAUAUAGCCCGUUUUGGUGCCUAACUUUGGGAAUUUCAGAAGAAGAGACUUAUCCCACAUAUCACACAACAUAAAUAAACCCUUCUUCUUUGCAGUCGAUAUUCGGGUUGUUGGAUUUUCCAUCUAUAAAUUAAUUUCUUUCAUCUGAUUAAGUGUCUUAUCCAUCAUUUUCAAGGUCGUUAACAUUUCCUUUUUUAUCCGUAUAUUCAUUUAAAAUGCUGACGGUAACUUCUUGAAUUUUAGAGAGAGAGUUGACACCAUUUUUUCUGAACCACUAACAGCAAGAAUACAAAAACGAUCCAUGGCCUCCACUGCAUUUGGAUGAGAAUUUGUUUGUCCAAUAUAUCUCAUGCGAGAAAAAAAGUUUUCUAAACAAUCUUGAUUUAGACGCGACGUUAAAAUAUACGGAAUCUUACUAAUAUUGCCAAAUAAGUAGUCAUAUAACCCUUUGUGGAGAACAUAAUACAUUUCUUGUAUGGCUUCAAGGCAUCUGAAUGCGACGAUAUAAUUUCCUUUUUAUUAUUCCUUUUGACUUGUUUAAUUGUCUCAACUAUGUUUAUCAUGGACAAAAGAAUCCCCUUUUGCUCUUCUAAAUUUACUCCAUAACCACAAAGAAAGGUAUUAUUCGAUAUGGGCUUAGACCUGUUCAUGAUGUCGAACCAUUGAUCCACUAGUUCGACGAAGUCCACAACUUUUAGCAUCAAUGGGUCUUCUUUAUUUAUGAGCCCAAAGGCACUUGCUAUUGGGGGGGCUCAAGAAUUCAACGGCUAGGCGCACACGUUGCCUUCUAUUUCUGAUGACGUUUCAAUGGCCGGAGCUAAAUUUAUGCUCCCCAGUAGUUUUUCUAUACUUCGGAUUUGAAUCAAAGUUCCGUUCUUCAGCGUCAACACAUUAUCAAUAAAAUUAUUUUGCAAAAGCUUCAGUAAAUGAGGGACAUCAGCAAAUACAUAUUUAAUUUUCUCUUCGUUAAAUGGAUUGGGGAAGUAAGUUUUGUCAGUAAACAAUCCUAAAUUUGUCCAAAGGCUCAUAUUCUUGGGUCUCAUGUCUGACACAAUCCCAACAAUACGAAUGUCACUUCUUUUCAUUUCCAAUUUAUGUUUGAAUAGUAGUUAUCUCGUAACCGGACAAUAAUAGUCGGAAAAAAAACAUGCUGCUUCCACGGAAUUAGCAAUCCGCGAAUGAAAACCACCUUAAAUUCAUAUAUGGAAUUAGAACAUUUUAUGUGGUAGAAAGAUAAAACUUUAGUUAUAUAUGUACUUAAUUGAAAGAAAAUUGAAUAGAUGGAUAAUUUUUAAAGGCAACCCUGUAGCUGAAUAUAAUGUACGAAACCUGAAAGCUAAGACAGAAAUGUUUAUUCCUAGAUGAUAUCCGCAUUACUUCAACAUAUUGAACGUUUACCUGCUGAAAUGUUAUAGAAUCGGAUUCACAUUCACAGAUUAUUUUUGUUCAUUAAAUUUUU